CUCUCUACCCUUUGUGACUAUUAUACCUGUUGCUUCGGCGGCGCCCGCGAGGGUGCCCGCCGGUCUCAUCAGAAUCUCUGUUUUCGAACCCGACGAUACUUCUGAGUGUUCUUAGCGAACUGUCAAAACUUUUAACAACGGAUCUCUUGGCUCCAGCAUCGAUGAAGAACGCAGCGAAACGCGAUAUGUAAUGUGAAUUGCAGAAUUCAGUGAAUCAUCGAAUCUUUGAACGCACAUGGCGCCUUCCAGUAUCCUGGGAGGCAUGCCUGUCCGAGCGUCGUUUCAACCCUCGAGCCCCCGUGGCCCGGCGUUGGGGAUCUGCCACGGCAGGCCCCUAAAACCAGUGGCGGACCCGAAGGCCCUCUCCUUUGCGCAGUAGCAUCAGCCUCGCAUUGGGAUCCCUCGGCGUCCUGCCUCUAAACCCCCCACAAGUCCGCUCCGGCGGCACCAAGGUUGACCUCGGAUCAGGUAGGAAUACCCGCUGAACUUAAGCAUAUCAAUAAGCGGAGGA
rnacentral:rRNA from 1 species